UACGUAGGGUGCGAGCGUUGUCCGGAAUUACUGGGCGUAAAGAGCUCGUAGGUGGUUUGUCGCGUUGUUCGUGAAAUCCCACGGCUUAACUGUGGGCGUGCGGGCGAUACGGGCAGACUGGAGUACUGCAGGGGAGACUGGAAUUCCUGGUGUAGCGGUGGAAUGCGCAGAUAUCAGGAGGAACACCGGUGGCGAAGGCGGGUCUCUGGGCAGUAACCGACGCUGAGGAGCGAAAGCGUGGGGAGCGAACAGG
rnacentral:rRNA from 1 species